ensembl:lncRNA
CGCUAUUUUCCUUGAAGAACAAUUCAGGACAAUUAUUAUUAAUGCACGCAGCCGGCACCUGCGCGGCUCUCUGCCCGCUUCCCGAAUGGUACUUUUACUGCCCGUAAGCGGCGAACCAGGGCCGGUAAUAGGAUCAGGAAGGGAGGCGUUAGGCGGAAUGCCGCUGCGGCACUACUCGUAAAGGCGCGCUCCCGACAAACGCCUUCGGCCGAGAGGCUGUAAACGUUUUACGGGUAAUGAGAAAGGCAAGGGUUUGGCACGAAGGGGCGGGAAGGGUCGCACCACCUUUUGCUGGACGGGGCCGUGCUCGUUGCUGAAUGCUGGCGUGGGGGCUUCGGCCCGCCGAACGACCACGGAAAGCAAACCAGUAACUUUUACAGAGGAAAGUAAAAUAUUUCAAGUCAAGAACUCCUCUAGUAGCUGAAAAUUAACCUCUGACAACACGCGAGAUUUUCCCUCCCCGCCAUAUCAAAGAAACGUCUGUACGUUAAUUUCACCCUGAAAGAUUUGAGAAAUAACAGCGCCUCAGGGCAAAUUUUCAGCUUCAGAAGGACCCUUUGAGUCGAAGUAGGCGCAGAGAGUACGCCCAAAGCCGCGCAAUACAGCCUCAUUGAUUUUGCUGCGGUGUUCGCACGCCCGGGGAGUACAGAAGCGCAGAUCCCUGAGUUCUUCUGACGAGAUUUUAAUUAGGAAAUGGAAUUCCCCGCUCUGGAGCUGUGCCUUCGUGUAGAUGAGGCAUGACGGCUGGGAGCUUUGCCGAGGGGUGGGUUGGGGUCACGGUGACGAGAGGAGCGGAGCCAGGGCCGCCCCAAACGGCGGCUCUCUUCCUUCCGUCCUCCGUUCUUCUUUCCUUCCUUUUUUUUUUUUUUUCUUUCUCCCUUCGGUAUGCUGCUGAGAACCGACCCCGUGAAUUUCCCGAAGUGGGCCCCUUGGCGUUAUCACCGCUUAAUUCGAACGUUCCUUCCAAGAGGAAAGCAGCAGAGAGGCAAGGUGCUUGCCGCUAGCUCAGCCUGUGCGUUGUUGCCGUGGAUACGGUUCUAAAGCGGUUCGAUUUUAUCGAUGCAAAAGAAAACGUUGAAAAUUGAGGAGCAGAAGAGCUAGCAUUUGUAUGGCAAUGGGCUGCAGCCUCUUCAUUCAGAAAGAAGUUAUCCCACAGCUUCCUGAGG